CUUUGCUGUGGCUGCCCGGCGUCGAUGGGAUGAGCCACAGCAUCAUGUUGAUGAAUAAAUAUCUACAACUCCACUAUUUUUGGGAAAACACAAAGAAGUUGUAAGUCAAACAACCGGAGGAUCGCUUGGCUGACAGAGCUCCUCGCACACAACGCCACUGACGAAGUCCCACACCAGCUUAGCCGGUCCGUUCGGGGAAGCUACAGGAAACAAUAACCAAUUUUUAUAUUUUUCAGAUUCCGACCUCAGCUGCUUGGCUGCUUCAAGAAGGCACAAGGUCACGUCCAGAUGGCUUUCGCUCUCGCCCUCCUUCUCCUCGCUCGGCUGAGCCGUGAUCCAGGCCUUCAUCAGCUCUUCAUCCAAG